UGGGGAAUUUUGGACAAUGGGCGCAAGCCUGAUCCAGCCAUGCCGCGUGCAGGAUGAAGGCCUUCGGGUUGUAAACUGCUUUUGUACGGAACGAAAAGGUGCCUUCUAAUAAAGGGCGCUCAUGACGGUACCGUAAGAAUAAGCGCCGGCUAACUACGUGCCAGCAGCCGCGGUAAUACGUAGGGUGCGAGCGUUAAUCGGAAUUACUGGGCGUAAAGCGUGCGCAGGCGGUUUUGUAAGACAGAGGUGAAAUCCCCGGGCUCAACCUGGGAACUGCCUUUGUGACUGCAAGGCUGGAGUGCGGCAGAGGGGGAUGGAAUUCCGCGUGUAGCAGUGAAAUGCGUAGAUAUGGGGAGGAACACCGAUGGCGAAGGCAAUCCCCUGGGCCUGCACUGACGCUCAUGCACGAAAGCGUGGGGAGCAAACA
rnacentral:rRNA from 1 species